UUCUUUGUCUUCUUUGAUAGGAUUGAACAAGAAAAGAGUGAUAUUCUCUACAUGAUUUCUUACCAAAUGUUAGUGAUGUGCUUUGUGGUACUGAUAAGAAGUGUGGCAUGCUUGACCUAUUCCUAUGUGCUGGUGCUGCGUGCAGUGAAUAUAGGAAUACGAUGGCUUGACUGAUUGUGACUUGCCACAGAGCUUAUUUUAACAGAGCAUCAUGGAAGAAGCUUGGUUUCAAGUUGGUACGGUCUACUAGGUGACGUUUGAUUUUAUAGGCCUUUUUUCACCAAGGCAUGGGCUUGUGUAGUGUUGUCUUGGUGAUGUGCAAUGUGUAGUAUUCCGUUCUUAGAUGGUGAGGGAUGAUGUUGCAUUGCUGAAUGGGUUCCAGAACAUACAUUCGAGAAUUUUUUUUCAUUUGGUUUGGUCAAUAUUUAUCAUGAUUUGCUUAAAUCAUAUGUGUCGUGGAUUAGCUUCAAAUGCAUGCAUCGUGCAUAGUGCUUAUCUACCCUGAACACAUGAUUACAUUCUUUACAGCCAUGGAACUUUGCUCACUUGUUUCCCCAAAGUUGUUCUUCUUCAUUUGUGUUCUCCCCAAUGCUGCAGAGGUGGCGUAGGUUGAGGGAACUUGAUAAGCUCAAGGGACAUGUGGAAUUUGGUUUGCCAACUAGAAGGCGCUCGGCAUCGAGACGGUCCAGCAGUCCGUACACGGUGUGAUGAUCUGGGCUUCCAUGAAUGCAUCAGCUACAACUACUUGGAUGCGAUCGUUGUUGUGAUAGAGCUGCAGUGGUGGUGUAGGU